rnacentral:rRNA from 1 species
CUCCGGGUGAUCCCGCCGGACCCGACUGCUAUCAGAGUGGGACUAAGCCAUGCGAGUCAACAUAGCAAUAUGUGGCAUACGGCUCAGUAACACGUAGUCAACAUGCCCAGGGGACGUGGAUAACCUCGGGAAACUGAGGAUAAACCGCGAUAGGUCAUCACUUCUGGAAUGGGUAAUGACUUAAAUCUAUAUGGCCCCUGGAUUGGACUGCGGCCGAUCAGGCUGUUGGUGAGGUAAUGGCCCACCAAACCUGUAACCGGUACGGGCUCUGAGAGGAGGAGCCCGGAGAUGGGCACUGAGACAAGGGCCCAGGCCCUAUGGGGCGCAGCAGGCGCGAAACCUCUGCAAUAGGCGAAAGCUUGACAGGGUUACUCUGAGUGAUUUCCGUUAAGGAGAUCUUUUGGCACCUCUAAAAAUGGUGCAGAAUAAGGGGUGGGCAAGUCUGGUGUCAGCCGCCGCGGUAAUACCAGCACCCCGAGUGGUCGGGACGUUUAUUGGGCCUAAAGCAUCCGUAGCCGGUUCUACAAGUCUUCCGUUAAAUCCACCUGCUUAACAGAUGGGCUGCGGAAGAUACUAUAGAGCUAGGAGGCGGGAGAGGCAAGCGGUACUCGAUGGGUAGGGGUAAAAUCCGUUGAUCCAUUGAAGACCACCAGUGGCGAAGGCGGCUUGCCAGAACGCGCUCGACGGUGAGGGAUGAAAGCUGGGGGAGCAAACCGGAUUAGAUACCCGGGUAGUCCCAGCUGUAAACGAUGCAGACUCGGUGAUGAGUUGGCUUAUUGCUAACUCAGUGCCGCAGGGAAGCCGUUAAGUUUGCCGCCUGGGGAGUACGGUCGCAAGACUGAAACUUAAACCAUUGGCGGGGGAGCA